rnacentral:lncRNA from 1 species
CGCGAAGGGUGACCUGCGUGGUUGAGACGGGGGCCGCGCAAACCCUGUGCUCGACCAUGGCCUGCAUCACAGCUGCACAGGCGUGGGGAUCAUGGAGAGCAGGCCAUGAUGCUGCCACCGGCGCGCGAAGAAGCUCUCGAAUGCCGGUGCGUGGAGGAUCUGUGAUGCCAGCGUAGAGAGGUCGUAGAGCGGGGAGUAGGGGCCAGGCUGUCGGAGCUUGCGAACGCCGGAGCGUGGUUUUGAUUGGACGGCAGCAGGCUCGAUUUGGCUUUCAAGGACUUCUUCCGAUUCGGUUGAGGUGCGGCACAAGCAAGGCAGGCUCUGGUGGAGAGAAAGGGGAGCGAUGGGGUGCGAUUG